rnacentral:rRNA from 1 species
AAUAUUGGACAAUGGGCGAAAGCCUGAUCCAGCCAUGCCGCGUGCGUGAAGAAGGUCUUCGGAGUGUAAAGCACUUUACGUUGGGAGGAAGGGCAGUAAGUUAAUAGCUUGCUGUUUUGACGUUACCGACAGAAUAAGCACCUACUAACUUCGUGCCAGCAGCCGCGAUAAUACGAAGGGUGCAAGCGUUAAGCGGAAUUACUGUGCGUAAUGCGCGAGUAGGUGGUUUGUUAAGUUGGAAGUGAAAGCCCCGGGCUCAACCUGGGAACUGCUUUCAAAACUGGCAAGCUAGAGUACGGUAGAGGGUAGUGGAAUUUCCUGUGUAGCGGUGAAAUGCGUAGAUAUAGGAAGGACCACCAGUGGCGAAGGCGACUACCUGGACUGAUACUGACACUGAGGUGCGAAAGCGUGGGGAGCAAAC